rnacentral:rRNA from 1 species
UAGUCCACGCCGUAAACGAUGGUCACUAGCUGUUCGGCUUCGUGCUGAGUGGCUAAGCGAAAGUGAUAAGUGACCCACCUGGGGAGUACGUUCGCAAGAAUGAAACUCAAAGGAAUUGACGGGGGCCCGCACAAGCGGUGGAGCAUGUGGUUUAAUUCGAUGAUACGCGAGGAACCUUACCAGGGCUUAAAUGUAGGUUGACAGGUCUAGAGAUAGAUUUUUCUUCGGACAACUUACAAGGUGCUGCAUGGUUGUCGUCAGCUCGUGCCGUGAGGUGUCAGGUUAAGUCCUAUAACGAGCGCAACCCCUGUUGUUAGUUACCAGCACGUAGUGGUGGGGACUCUAGCAAGACUGCCGGUGCAAACCGCGAGGAAGGUGGGGAUGACGUCAAAUCACCACGGCCCUUACGUCCUGGGCCACACACGUGCUACAAUGGUAGGUACAGAGAGCAGCCACUUAGCGAUAAGGAGCGAAUCUAUAAAGCCUAUCUCAGUUCGGA